AAGUCGUAACAAGGUUUCCGUAGGUGAACCUGCGGAAGGAUCAUUAUUGAAUUAAACGUGAUGAGUUGCUGCUGGUUCUCUAGGGAACAUGUGCACACUUGUCAUCUUUAUAUCUCCACCUGUGCACCUUUUGUAGUCUUGGAUACUUUUCUAAAUGCUUUUUAAGCAUUUCAGGUUUGAGGAUUGACUUGUCUCUCCUUACAUUUCCAGGUCUAUGUUUCUUCAUAUACCCUAAUGUAUGUUAUAGAAUGUAAUAAAUGGGCCUUUGUGCCUAUAAACCUUAUACAACUUUCAGCAACGGAUCUCUUGGCUCUC
rnacentral:misc_RNA from 1 species